rnacentral:sRNA from 1 species
GACCCUGAGACAAGGUGGCUGCUUCCUC